CCAGCUUCUUUCAAAAUGUCUACUGUUCAUGAGAUUCUGAGCAAACUCAGCUUGGAGGGUGACCACUCCACACCCGUAAGUGCAUAUUGGGUCAGUCAAAGCCUACACCAACUUUGAUGCUGAGCGGGAUGCUUUGAACACUGAGAUGGCCAUCAAGACCAAAGGUGUGGACGAGGUCACCACCAUCAACAUUUUGACCAACCGCAGCAAUCCACAGAGACAGGACGUCACCUUCACCUACCAGAACAGGACCAAAAAGGAACUGGCAUCAGCACUGAAGUCAGCCUUAUCUGGCCACCUGGAGAUGGUGAUUUUGGGCCUCUUGAAGACACCUGCUCAGUAUGCUGCUUCAGAGCUAAAAGCUUCCAUGAAGGGGCUGGGAACUGACGAGGACUCCCUCAUUGAGAUCAUCUGCUCCAGGACCAACCAGGAGCUACAGGAAAUUAACAGAGUCUACAAGGAAAUGUACAAGACUGACCUGGAGAAGGACAUUGUUUCUGACACAUCUGAAGACUCCCGCAAGCUGAUGGUUGACCUUGCAAAGGGUAGAAGAGUAGAGGCUGGCUCAGUCAUUGGUUAUGAACUGAUUGACCAAGAUGCCCAGAUCUCUAUGAUGCUGGAGUGAAGAGGAAAGGAACCGAUGUUCCCAAGUGGAUCAGCAUCAUGACGGAGCGGAGUGUGUGCCACCUCCAGAAAGUAUUUGAUAGGUAUAAGAGCUACAGCCCUCACGACAUGUUGGAGAGCACCAAGAAGGAGGUCAAGGGAGACUUGGAGAAUGCGUUCCUGAACUUGGUCCAGCGCACUCAGAACAAGCCCCUGUACUUUGUUGAUCGGCUGUAUGAUUCCAUGAAGGAAUCACGAUAAGGUCCUAAUUAGAAUCGUGGUCUCCCACAUUGAAGUGGACAUGUUGAAAAUUAGGUCUGUGUUCAGGAGAAAGUACGGCAAGUCCCUGUACUAUUACAUCCAGCAAGACAUUAAGGGUGACUACCAGAAAGCGCUGCGGUACCUGUGCAGGGGAGGUGACUGA